rnacentral:rRNA from 1 species
UAGGGAAUCUUCGGCAAUGGACGAAAGUCUGACCGAGCAACGCCGCGUGAGUGAAGAAGGUUUUCGGAUCGUAAAACUCUGUUGUUAGAGAAGAACAAGGACGUUAGUAACUGAACGUCCCCUGACGGUAUCUAACCAGAAAGCCACGGCUAACUACGUGCCAGCAGCCGCGGUAAUACGUAGGUGGCAAGCGUUGUCCGGAUUUAUUGGGCGUAAAGCGAGCGCAGGCGGUUUCUUAAGUCGGAUGUGAAAGCCCCCGGCUCAACCGGGGAGGGUCAUUGGAAACUGGGAGACUUGAGUGCAGAAGAGGAGAGUGGAAUUCCAUGUGGAGCGGUGAAAUGCGUAGAUAUAUGGAGGAACACCAGUGGCGAAGGCGGCUCUCUGGUCUGUAACUGACGCUGAGGCUCGAAAGCGUGGGGAGCAAACAGG